GUGGACCUCACCCUGACUCGGGAGCAGACGGAACGUUUGUCCCAGCAGAUCACCUCCCGCGUGGUCUCGGCAGCCACGCAGCUGCGGCAUUUCUUCCUGGUAGAAGACCUCGUGGAUUCCUUCAAGGUGGCCUGGAGCUCUCAGCCCCUCCUGGGUUCCCCCAUUCACCUCUGCAUGGCUAGGGGGUGGGAGGGCGACUGUUGGGUAAAUUCACAGCAUGGGAGGGAAUUCCCGGUGGGCUCUGCUGACCCUGACCUUCACCCCCAGCUGGCCCUCCUCUUCUACAUCUUGACCUUCGUGGGUGCCAUCUUCAAUGGUUUGACUCUUCUCAUUCUGGGUGAGCUGGGAAGGCCGUGAGGGGCAAAUGGGGACUUGGAGUCUGGUGGGGGACAGGGCUCCAGGUGGAACUGUUCAUCUCUUGGGAACACCCUGACGCCCUCGUCUCUGUACCCACAGGAGUGAUUGGUCUAUUCACCAUCCCCCUGCUGUACCGGCAGCACCAGGCUCAGAUCGACCAGUAUGUGGGGUUGGUGACCAAUCAGUUGAGCCACAUCAAAGCUAAGUAAGAGCAUGGGGCGGAGGUCGAUGGGAGGGGGAAGUCGGGGAGCUUGGGAACCUUUCCUUUCUACUCUCGCUGUCCGUAAAUCUCCUGGGGUAAUGUCCCCUUGAAAAGGCUGAGGAG
rnacentral:sRNA from 1 species